GUGAGGUAACGGCUCGCCAAGGCGACGACGGGUAGCUGGUCUGAGAGGACGAUCAGCCACACUGGAACUGAGACACGGUCCAGACUCCUACGGGAGGCAGCAGGAGGGAAUAUUGCGCAAUGGGCGAAAGCCUGACGCAGCAACGCCGCGUGAGGGAUGACUGCCUUCGGGUUGUAAACCUCUUUCAGUGGGGACGAAAUUGACGGUACCCACAGAAGAAGCACCGGCCAACUACGUGCCAGCAGCCGCGGUAAUACGUAGGGUGCAAGCAUUGUCCGGAUUUAUUGGGCGUAAAGAGCUCGUAGGCGGCUUAACAAGUCGGCCGUGAAAUACCGAGGCUCAACCUCGGGGAGUCGGUCGAAACUGUUAUAGCUAGAGUACGGUAGAGGAGAGUGGAAUUCUCGGUGUAGCGGUGGAAUGCGCAGAUAUCGAGAGGAACACCAGUAGCGAAGGCGGCUCUCUGGGCCGUUACUGACGCUGAGGAGCGAAAGCGUGGGGAGCAAACAGGAUUAGAUACCCUGGUAGUCCACGCUGUAAACGUUGGGAACUAGGUGUUGCGGUCUGAUCAAUGACUGCGGUGCCGAAGCUAACGCAUUAAGUU
rnacentral:rRNA from 1 species